rnacentral:rRNA from 1 species
UCCUACGGGAGGCAGCAGUGGGGAAUUUUGGACAAUGGGGGAAACCCUGAUCCAGCCAUCCCGCGUGUAUGAUGAAGGCCUUCGGGUUGUAAAGUACUUUUGGCAGAGAAGAAAAGGUACCUCCUAAUACGAGGUACUGCUGACGGUAUCUGCAGAAUAAGCACCGGCUAACUACGUGCCAGCAGCCGCGGUAAUACGUAGGGUGCAAGCGUUAAUCGGAAUUACUGGGCGUAAAGCGUGUGUAGGCGGUUCGGAAAGAAAGAUGUGAAAUCCCAGGGCUUAACCUUGGAACUGCAUUUUUAACUGCCGAGCUAGAGUAUGUCAGAGGGGGGUAGAAUUCCACGUGUAGCAGUGAAAUGCGUAGAUAUGUGGAGGAAUACCGAUGGCGAAGGCAGCCCCCUGGGAUAAUACUGACGCUCAGACACGAAAGCGUGGGGAGCAAACAGGAUUAGAUACCCUGGUAGUCCACGCCCUAAACGAUGUCAACUAGCUGUUGGGGCCGUUAGGCCUUAGUAGCGCAGCUAACGCGUGAAGUUGACCGCCUGGGGAGUACGGUCGCAAGAUUAAAACUCAAAGGAAUUGACGGGGACCCGCACAAGCGGUGGAUGAUGUGGAUUAAUUCGAUGCAACGCGAAAAACCUUACCUACCCUUGACAUGUCUGGAAUCCCGAAGAGAUUUGGGAGUGCUCGCAAGAGAACCGGAACACAGGUGCUGCAUGGCUGUCGUCAGCUCGUGUCGUGAGAUGUUGGGUUAAGUCCCGCAACGAGCGCAACCCUUGUCAUUAGUUGCUACGCAAGAGCACUCUAAUGAGACUGCCGGUGACAAACCGGAGGAAGGUGGGGAUGACGUCAAGUCCUCAUGGCCCUUAUGGGUAGGGCUUCACACGUCAUACAAUGGUCGGGACAGAGGGUCGCCAACCCGCGAGGGGGAGCCAAUCUCAGAAACCCGAUCGUAGUCCGGAUCGCAGUCUGCAACUCGACUGCGUGAAGUCGGAAUCGCUAGUAAUCGCGGAUNNNNNNNNNNCCGUCACACCAUGGGAGUGGGUUUCACCAGAAGUAGGUAGCCUAACCGUAAGGAGGGCGCUUACCACGGUGGGAUUCAUGACUGGGGUGAAGUCGUAACAAGGUAGCCGUAUCGGAAGGUGCGGCUGGAUCACCUCCUUU